UAAGUGGGUAAUCCUAUGCUGCCAAGAAAAGCCUCUAGCGGGUGUUAAAGCCGCCCGUACCCCAAACCGACACAGGUGGUCAGGUAGAGAAUACUAAGGCGAUCGAGAUAACUAUGGUUAAGGAACUCGGCAAAAUGCCCCCGUAACUUCGGGAGAAGGGGGGCCCGUUCUGGUGAGGAGAUUUACUCUCCGAGCUGGGAUUGGCCGCAGAGACCAGGCCCAAGCGACUGUUUACUAAAAACACAGGUCCAUGCUAAGUCGCAAGACGCUGUAUAUGGACUGACGCCUGCCCGGUGCUGGAACGUUAAGGGGACGGGUUAGCGACUUCGGUCGCGAAGCUCAGAACUUAAGCGCCAGUAAACGGCGGUGGUAACUAUAACCAUCCUAAGGUAGCGAAAUUCCUUGUCGGGUAAGUUCCGACCUGCACGAACGGCGUAACGACUUGGGCGCUGUCUCAACCGUAGACUCGGCGAAAUUGCACUACGAGUAAAGAUGCUCGUUACGCGCGGCAGGACGAAAAGACCCCGGGACCUUUACUACAGCUUGGUAUUGGUGGUCGAUUCGAUUUGUGUAGGAUAGGUGGGAGACUGUGAACUUCGGACGCCAGUUCGAAGGGAGUCAUCGUUGAAAUACCACUCUGAUCGUAUUGGCUGUCUAACCUAGAUCCGUAAUCCGGACCAGGGACAGUGCCUGGUGGGUAGUUUAACUGGGGCGGUUGCCUCCUAAAAUGUAACGGAGGCGCUCAAAGGUUCCCUCAGCCUGGUUGGCAAUCAGGUAUCGAGUGUAAGUGCACAAGGGAGCUUGACUGUGAGACUGACGGGUCGAGCAGGGACGAAAGUCGGAACUAGUGAUCCGGCGCUGGCAAGUGGAAGCGGCGUCGCUCAACGGAUAAAAGGUACCCCGGGGAUAACAGGCUGAUCUUGCCCAAGAGUCCAUAUCGACGGCAUGGUUUGGCACCUCGAUGUCGGCUCGUCGCAUCCUGGGGCUGGAGUAGGUCCCAAGGGUUGGGCUGUUCGCCCAUUAAAGCGGCACGCGAGCUGGGUUUAGAACGUCGUGAGACAGUUCGGUCCCUAUCCGCCGCGCGCGUAAGAGUCUUGAGAAGAUCUGUCCCUAGUACGAGAGGACCGGGAUGGACGAACCUCUGGUGUGUCAGUUGUCCUGCCAAGGGCACUGCUGAUUAGCUACGUUCGGAAGAGAUAACCGCUGAAAGCAUCUAAGCGGGAAACUCGCUUCAAGAUGAGGGCUCUCACAGGGUUAACCUGGUAAGGCCCCCAGUAGACCACUGGGUUGAUAGGCCGGAAGUGGAAGUGCGGUAACGCAUGCAGCUGACCGGUACUAAUAGGCCGAGGACUUGACC
rnacentral:rRNA from 1 species